rnacentral:rRNA from 1 species
AUUGAACGCUGGCGGCAGGCCUAACACAUGCAAGUCGAGCGAGCGGCGGACGGGUGAGUAAUGUCUGGGAAUCUGCCUGAUGGAGGGGGAUAACUACUGGAAACGGUAGCUAAUACCGCAUACUAUCGGAUGUGCCCAUAUGGGAUUAGCUAGUAGGUGGGGUAAUGGCUCACCUAGGCGACGAUCCCUAGCUGGUCUGAGAGGAUGAUCAGCCACACUGGAACUGAGACACGGUCCAGACUCCGACGGGAGGCAGCAGUGGGGAAUAUUGCACAAUGGGCGCAAGCCUGAUGCAGCCAUGCCGCGUGUAUGAAGAAGGCCUUCGGGUUGUAAAGUACUUUCAGCGGGGAGGCGUUACCCGCAGAAGAAGCACCGGCUAACUCCGUGCCAGCAGCCGCGGUAAUUC